CUACCCGGGUAUCUAAUCCUGUUUGCUACCCACGCUUUCGUGUCUCAGCGUCAGAAGUGGUCCAGUAAGCUGUCUACACCACAGGUGUUCCUCCUGAUAUCUACGCAUUUCACCGCUACACCAGGAAUUCCGCUUACCUCUCCCACCCUCUAGCACACUAGUUUCCGCCGCACCCUCCCAGUUAAGCCGGGAGAUUUCACAACAGACUUAGAGCACCGCCUACACACUCUUUACGCCCAGUAAUUCCGAACAACGCUUGCUGCCUACGUAUUACCGCGGCUGCUGGCAC
rnacentral:rRNA from 1 species